rnacentral:rRNA from 1 species
UACGUAGGGUGCGAGCGUUGUUCGGAAUUACUGGGCGUAAAGGGCACGUAGGCGGCCUUCUAAGUCGAACGUGAAAUCCCCGGGCUCAACCCGGGAACUGCGUCCGAUACUGGAAGGCUUGAAUCCGGGAGAGGGAUGUGGAAUUCCAGGUGUAGCGGUGAAAUGCGUAGAUAUCUGGAGGAACACCUGCGGUGUAGACGGCUUACUGGACCAUAACUGACGCUGAGGCACGAAAGCGUGGGUAGCAAACAGG